rfam:Myotis lucifugus cont2.59557, whole genome shotgun sequence.
GGCAGUUGUCAGGUGACACAACCCAGAAUCAGGCUCCCUCCUCUCUGGUUCCGGGAUGCGUGACCUGAGAAUCGCC